AUUGAACGCUGGCAGCAUGCCUUACACAUGCAAGUCGAACGGUAACGCGGGGCAACCUGGCGACGAGUGGCGAACGGGUGAGUAAUACAUCGGAACGUGCCCAGUAGUGGGGGAUAGCCCGGCGAAAGCCGGAUUAAUACCGCAUACGACCUACGGGUGAAAGCAGGGGAUCGCAAGACCUUGCGCUAUUGGAGCGGGCCGAUGUCAGAUUAGGUUGUUGGUGGGGUAAAAGCCUACCAAGCCGACGAUCUGUAGCUGGUCUGAGAGGACGACCAGCCACACUGGGACUGAGACACGGCCCAGACUCCUACGGGAGGCAGCAGUGGGGAAUUUUGGACAAUGGGCGCAAGCCUGAUCCAGCCAUGCCGCGUGCGGGAAGAAGGG
rnacentral:rRNA from 1 species